rnacentral:lncRNA from 1 species
CCCGGAUCUCCAGGCUCCCGCAGCUCUCCAGGCCGGGCCGUGCCCCGUCCCGCCCCCGCUCCUUUGUGCUCCCGUCCUGCCCUUUCCGCCGGGCCCGGCCGGGUUUCCGCGGGGCCGGGCCCGGACAAAGCCCCGGGGAGCGCGGCCCCUUCCCUUCCCCGGCCGAGCCGCGCCCGGAGCCGCGGGGACCCGCUGGGAUCUGCUGGGAGCCUCGGGGGGAUGCUGGGACCCGCUGGGAUCUGCUGGGAGCCACGGGGAUCCUCUGGGACCCGCUGGGAUCUGCUAGGAUCUGCUGGGAUCCUCUGGGAUCCCCGGGGGGAUGCUGGGAUCUGCUGGGAACCACUGGGAGCCACUGGGAUCCUCUGGGAUCCUCGGGGGGAUGCUGGGAUCUGCUGGGAUCCUCUGGGAGCCACUGGGAUCCUCUGGGGGACGCUGGGAUCUGCUGGGAUCCUCUGGGAUCCUCGGGGGGAUACUGGGAUCUGCUGGGAUCCUCUGGGAGCCACUGGGAUCCUCUGGGAUCCUCUGGGGGACGCUGGGAUCUGCUGGGACCCGCUGGGAUCCUCGGGGGGAUGCUGGGAUCUGCUGGGAUCCUCUGGGAGCCACUGGGAUCCUCUGGGAUCAUCGGGGGACACUGGGAUCUGCUGGGACCCGCUGGGAUCCACUGGGAUCCUCUGGGACCCGCGGGGACCCGCUGGGAUCCUCUGGGGGUCUGCUGGGAUCCUCUUGGAGCCACUGGGAUCCUCUGGGAGGCACCGGGAACUGCUGGGAUCCUCUGGGAGCCGCUGGGAUCCUCUGGGAUCCGCUGGGAUCUGCUGGGAUCUGUGGGACCUUUGGGGAUCCGUCGGGACACAGAUCCCUGUGGGAUCUGCUGGGGAUCACUGGGAUCCACCCAGACCCUCACAGGGAGCAGCAAUUCCUUCCCAAUGUCCAAUAAAUUCCAGUUCCUGCUUACACCAGCACACACAGCCCUGCUGGUGCCCAGCAGGAGCAGCAGAGCCUCCUUCUCCUGCAGGGAAGGAGCGAUCCCAGGGAUGGGAAUGGAAUGACUUUGGAGGGAAUCAGCUUCAGGAGAAAGAAGGAGCUGCUCCCAGGUCUCCAAAAUCUCAUGGAUGGUUUGUAGGACCAGAGCCUGAUGGGAUUCAUGGGUGGGCAAUUGAGCCGAGAACCUGG